rnacentral:rRNA from 1 species
UGUUUUAGAAGAGAAGCAUUUAUUAGAUAAAAAACCAAUAUAUGUUUUUAAAGCAUAAAAAUUGGUGAUUUACAAUAACUAAGCAAAUCGCACAGUGCAAACUGGCGAUAAAUCAUUCAAGUUUCUGACCUAUCAGCUUUCGACGGUAAGGUAUUGGCUUACCGUGGCAGUGACGGUUAACGGGGGAUUAGGGUUCAAUUCCGGAGAGGGAGCCUGAGAAACGGCUACCACAUCUAAGGAAGGCAGCAGGCGCGCAAAUUACCCAAUUCUAACAGCAUAAGAGAGGUAGUGACAAGAAAUAACAGUACAAGGCAGUUAAAAUGCUUUGUAAUUGGAAUGAUAGAAAUUUAAAUACUUUUUAAAGUAUCAAUUGGAGGGCAAGUCUGGUGCCAGCAGCCGCGGUAAUUCCAGCUCCAAUAGCGUAUAUUAAAAUUGUUGCAGUUAAAAAGCUCGUAGUUGAAUUUUUGCUAAAAAUAACCGGUCUGCUUUUAUUAAUAAAAGUGGUAUCUUGGUGUGUUUUUAGCAAUAAUGUCCUUUGAAAUGUUUUUUACUUUAUUGUAAAAAGCAAUUUUCAGGAUUUUUACUUUGAGAAAAUUAGAGUGUUUCAAGCAGGCUAACGUUUUGAAUA